UGGGGCAGAGUAGGAGGACUCCAGAAGAUGCUGUCUCUCCUGAUCAUCUGUCUCCUGCCCACCAUCGAAGGGAAGAACUGCCUCCGCUGCUGGCCAGAACUGUCUGCCUUGAUAGACUAUGACCUACAGAUUCUCUGGGGGACCCCGGGGCCACCCACAGAACUUUCUCAAAGCAUUCACUCCCUGUUCCUAGAGGAUCGUGACCAUUUGGAAGAAGAAACAGCCAAAUUCUUCACUCAAGUACACCAAGCCAUUAAAACGUUACGAGAUGAUAAAACGGUACUUCUGGAAGAGAUCUACAUGCACAAGAAUCUAUUUACUGAGAGGCUGAAUAAGAUAUCUGAUGGGCUGAAGGAGAAGGGUAAGGGGUGGGGACGAUCCCUGCACAAGGCCCAGCCCUCCACACCUGCCAAGACCCAAGUCAUGCAGAGUUCACUCUGCAGCCCCCUCGAUCAUCCCCAGGAGCCCCACCCCUGCCCAUGAAUGCCUUCCCCGGCUCCAUCUCCUACUUGCACCCCAGACCCCCUUGGCUCUGUCUGCCUCCCCAGCACCUCAGUUUCUCUACCUUCUCACCCUCCCUGGCAGCCUGCAAUGAGUCCUGUGGUGAGUAUGCAUGGGGACUAGGUCUGGGGGAGGGAUGAAAGGCACCUGGCACCCCCUAGCCCCUGUCCCUCCCCUCCCAUAGACAUACAGCCCACACUGAAGGUCACCAGCUGUGCCGACUGCAGGACUCACUUCCUCUCCUGCAAUGACCCCACUUUCUGCCCAGGUCAGUGGCCACCACCCUGU
rnacentral:sRNA from 1 species